rnacentral:ribozyme from 1 species
AUCUUCUGUGUUAUUAUUAUUAAUACGAAAACAACGUAAGGUCAGAUUGCCCAAAAAGAAGUAAGAAACAAAAAGUAACAAUGAAAUCAUUCGACCUUUGGCUGCUACUUAUAAUCUCAAG